AGAGGCGGAACUCCCUGAUCUGGAGGCGGUUUCCUCGCCGGAUUGAAAAGCGGAGUGCACCGAGUGUCGCGGGAGCAGCACCUUGGUCCCUUGCUCCCGCGACAUGGCCUUCAACUUUGGUACUCCGUCUGGCACUUCAGGUACCGCUGCAGCCACCGCGGCUCCCGCGGGUGGGUUUGGAGGAUUUGGGACAACGUCUACCACAGCGGGUUCUGCAUUCAGCUUUUCUACUCCAGCUAACACAGGCACUACUGGAUUCUUUGGCAGUACUCAGAACAAAGGUUUUGGAUUUGGGACUGGUUUUGGCACGACAACUGGAACUAGUACUGGCUUAGGUACUGGUCUGGGGACCGGACUUGGAUUUGGAGGAUUUAAUACGCAGCAGCAGCAGCAGCAACAGACGACGUUAGGUGGUCUCUUCAGUCAGCCUACACACGCUCCUGCCCAGUCCAACCAGCUGAUAAAUACUGCAAGUGCCCUUUCUGCUCCAACACUACUGGGAGAUGAGAGAGAUGCUAUUUUGGCAAAAUGGAAUCAACUACAAGCCUUUUGGGGAACAGGAAAAGGAUAUUUCAACAAUAACAUUCCACCCGUGGAAUUCACACUAGAAAAUCCCUUUUGCCGGUUUAAGGCUGUAGGUUAUAGUUGCAUGCCCAAUAAUAAAGAUGAAGAUGGGCUAGUGGUUUUAGUUUUCAACAAAAAAGAAACAGAUAUUCGAAGCCAGCAGCAGCAAUUGGUAGAAUCAUUGCAUAAAGUUUUGGGAGGAAACCAGACCCUUACUGUAAAUGUAGAGGGUAUUAAAACAUUGCCAGAUGAUCAGACAGAAGUUGUCAUUUACGUUGUUGAGCGUUCUCCAAAUGGUACUUCAAGAAGAGUUCCAGCUACAACACUAUAUGCCCAUUUUGAACAAACCAAUAUUAAAACACAAUUACAGCAACUUGGUGUAACCCUUUCUAUGACUAGGACAGAGCUCUCUCCCGCACAGAUCAAACAGCUUUUGCAGAAUCCUCCUGCUGGUGUUGAUCCUAUUAUCUGGGAACAAGCCAAGGUGGAUAACCCUGAUUCUGAAAAGUUAAUUCCUGUGCCAAUGGUGGGUUUCAAAGAGCUGCUUCGAAGACUGAAGGCUCAGGACCAGAUGACGAAGCAGCAUCAGACCAGAUUAGAUAUAAUAUCUGAAGAUAUUGGUGAAUUACAGAAGAAUCAAACUACAACCAUGGCCAAAAUUGCACAAUACAAGAGGAAACUUAUGGACCUUUCCCACAGAACUUUACAGGUCCUAAUCAAACAGGAAAUUCAGAGGAAGAGUGGGUAUGCCAUCCAAGCUGAUGAAGAGCAGUUGCGAGUUCAGCUAGAUACAAUUCAGGGUGAACUAAAUGCCCCUACUCAGUUUAAGGGCCGACUAAAUGAACUGAUGUCCCAAAUCAGGAUGCAGAAUCACUUUGGAGCAGUCAAAUCUGAAGAAAGAUAUUACAUAGACGCCGAUCUGUUACGAGAAAUCAAGCAGGUAAGUUUUCCACUAGAGUGCACUCUUUAAGUGAAUUCAUAUCCGUAAGGAUGGCUAUUAUCCAAAACAAAACACCCUCCAGAAAGUCACACAUUUAGAGGAUGUGAAGAAAAUGGCACUGUUGUGCAUGCUAGUGGCAAUGUACAGUGAUACACACCGUCGCUGUGAAAAGUGCCUCCUUAAAAUAUAAACAUAGAAUUACAAUACAGCCCUGCAGUUCUCCUUCUGGGUAUGCACCUGUAAGAACUGAAUGCAGUCACUCAGAUAUUUGCAUGCCCAUGUUCAUGGAAGCAUUAUUCACAGUAGCCAAAGUGGAAGCAAUCCAGGUGUCCACAGAUAGUAAGUAGACCAAAUAUGGUUAUAUGUACACAAUGAAAUAUAAACCUUAAAAAGGCAGGCAGUGUAUACACACACACAUACACAUCAUGGAUGAACUUUGAAGACAUUAUGUGAAGUAAGCCAGUUAUUUGAAAGGACAGAAGUUGUAUGAUUCCAUUUAUAUGGUGUCCCCAAGAGUAGAAUGGUAGUUGCUGAGGGGAGGGUUACUGAUCCCAUCAGCCUUCAGGGGACCUGGGUGGAGGCUGCAGGAGCCAAGACCUCAGAGCACUUGUCUAAGGCUCACUUCUAUGGAAACGUUAGGAAGUACUACUUUAGCUUACUUUCACUAGUAUAAAUACAGACUGGUUUAAUAAAAACUGUCCAUCCAUCCAGCAACCAUCUAAAAAAAUAUAUUAAGAUGGCAAACUUUGUGGAACAUAUUAGAUAGGACUAAUUGGCAUGGCCUGAGGAUUUUAGGUAAUUAUAGAUGUCAUUAUUUAUCUAAUUUUAUUAUGUUCUUUAGAAUGAAUAUUGCUGUUUUAUGCAGCUAAAAACUAGUUUGUCUCCUGGGUUCUCAAAAAGUAUCAGAUCAGUUCAGUUCAAAAAAUUUCAGUUCAGUU